rnacentral:lncRNA from 1 species
CUUAGAUCCACUGUCAAAUAAUGCUUUACAGUCAACUUAUGGAAACACCUAUAAUAGUCAGCAACCUCAGGUCAACACUUACUGUGAAAUUUAAGGGAAGAGAAUGGGGGGAGGGAUUUUAAAAAUUAAAAUCAAAUCAGUGUGUUGGGGGAGUAUAUUUUAUCUUUGACAAUUUCAUGAGCAAUGGUUUUCUAUUUAUAUUUUUUUCAACAGAACUAGCCAAGGGAAAAAAACAGGAAAAGAAAGAAAAACACAUGGAACCAGGUAAGUGUUUUUAAAUUCCUCCAUCCUCUUAAUUUUGAGAUAUUAAUUUGCAAUUGAAUACUGAAAUGCCAUCAAAUAGCAUGGAAUGUUAAUUUUGUUUUUCUUUUCUUAUUUGAUUCAGCAAAGUCACCAAAGAAGGAACAGUCAGCUCCAACUGAAAAACACAUUAAAGCAAAGACUGAACAAACCAAAGAAGAGGUUGGUUCUGCCUCAUCGAAAAAAGCUGUACCUGGAAAGAAGGAAGAGAAAACAACCAAGACAGUGGAGCAAGAAAUUAGAAAAGAAAAAUCUGGGAAGACUUCUUCAGUUCUGAAGGAUAAAGGCAAAGAAGUCAAGCCCAAGUCUCCACAGCCACAAGUGAAAAAACAAGAGAAGCCAGAGUCACAAGUUAAAAAGGAAGCAAAACCAGCUUCAUCUGAAAAAGCUCAAAUACACAAACAAGACACAGUGAAACCAGAAAAGGCUGUUUCUCAUGGUAAACCAGAUGAAAAAGUUGUCAAGCAUGUAAAAGCUACCACGAUAGAAAAAACAAAAAAAGCUGAACAUCAAGGAAAAGAAUCUCCAUCUAUAAAAACAGGUGAUUUUGCCUUUUUGGUUUGCAUUCUGUCUCAAUUCACUGUUUCUUUACCUUUGAAAAUAAAACCAA